rnacentral:rRNA from 1 species
UACGUAGGGUGCGAGCGUUAUUCGGAAUUACUGGGCGUAAAGCGUGCGCAGGCGGUUCGUUGUGUCGGCGGUGAAAGCCCCGGGCUCAACCUGGGAAUGGCCGUUGAAACUGGCGAACUGGAGUGUGGCAGAGGGGGGUGGAAUUCCGCGUGUAGCAGUGAAAUGCGUAGAGAUGCGGAGGAACACCGAUGGCGAAGGCAGCCCCCUGGGCUGACACUGACGCUCAGGCACGAAAGCGUGGGGAGCAAACAGG